UAACAAGGUUAUGCCGUUCUUGAUGGCUACGGAUGCAAAUUAAUCAAUUCAGUUGUACUGAAUAAAAAAAUAUAUUUUUGUUUGUUGGGAGCUGUAAGCUUCCGCUUUAUUCGGAUAUUAAAUUAAAACUAAAAAGUAGAAAAGUGGACUUAUGCUGCAAGUCAGCUAAGAUGGGACAAAACUUUUUUAUGUUUAUACAAAACGGAUGAUGAAAUCAAAGAUCGAAGUGUGAAAUGCAAUUGUGUUUACAAUUGUGCUUUGACAUGUCAGCAUUCGCUGUACAUUUUAGGUUUCCGCAUUAUGAUCUGGGCUUUACGUUAAUUGUGUUUAUGCUAAAGCAUAAUUGUUUACAUCAAAAAUGACUGCGAAAUUGGAAUUGGACUAAUUGGAGAUAUGCUGAAAAUGCAGACGUUGCACCUUGUGCAGAUCCUCAAUUAUUGAGCGACCGUGAACGGAGACAGCAAUGCGUUAGUCAUUAAUUCGAAGGGCAUCUGCUUCAAUGAUGCGGUUCUAUGAUACAAGUCUUACACCUGAACUGCAUCACGCGAAAAGCUGUUUUGGGAUAAAAAAGUAAACAAAGUCAGGCAGGAAGAAGAAUAUAAAAACCAAUAAAAACAAACCAAACAAAAAUAGCAAUUUAAUAAAUUAUGCGGCACUGAGGGAAUUCAAAUAUUAAAAAAAUAUAUCAAUUUUAUUUAAUUUUCAUCAAAUGCCUCUACUUGUUUUUUGGUUUUUACUUUUUUAAAAAAUGAAAAACAAUUUGAAAUUAUUUUAAGACUCCAAAAUUUGCAAGUGAUAUACAUACAUACAUCGAUAUCGCGCUUUUUUCGAUACAUUUACCAAAAUCUCUUAUAGCCUAUUCCCACUGCACCAAAAAACCUCGAUUUUUUCCGUUCAGGUCGAAUGUUACGUUCGCCCAAUGUAAAAACAAGAAAACAGGUAAGAAAGCUACAGUCGACUGUGCUCGACUGUGAGAUACCCGGUACCCGCUAAGCAAAAUAUUCCGGUAUUAUUUUCAAUAUAUACCGAAAAUAUUAAAAAAAUGGAGAUAACGCUAUGAAUCCUCUUACCAACUAACUUAUUAGAAACACUUUCUUAAUUAAUGAGCACUCAGCUCCCAAUUCAAAUGUAAAUGUAAAUUUCUCACCAUUGACCAUACUCGGUUGAGGCUCCGCUCUAGCGCACAGCUCCACUCUUUUUUCCCAAUGUGUACUUUCAAUCCGGAAAUCUGCACUUUUUUUGGACAAUUAGUGGCUGACAUCUGAAGUAAGUUAAAUUUGGCUUUCCAUUACGAGGCUGCCGUGAACGCCACGCCUUUCCAGGUGCUGCAACCUGCACUAUUAUUCCAGAUCUACAGUCUUGCUUUUUAUAACCUACAACAACCUC